rnacentral:rRNA from 1 species
UACGUAGGGGGCAAGCGUUGUCCGGAUUUAUUGGGCGUAAAGAGCGUGUAGGCGGUCAGGUAGGUCAGCUGUGAAAACUCCGAGGCUCAACCUCGAGACGCCGGUUGAAACCAUCUGACUAGAGUCCGGAAGAGGAGAGUGGAAUUCCACGUGUAGCGGUGAAAUGCGUAGAGAUGUGGAGGAACACCAGUGGCGAAAAGCGGCGUCUCUGGUCUGUAACUGACGCUGAGGCGACGAAAGCGUGGGGAGCAAACAGG